AUUCUAAAGCUAAUACAUGCAUCAAACCCCAACUUCUGGAAGGGGUGUACUUAUUAAAUGGAAACCAAUGCGGGGCAACCCGGAUCAUGGUGAUUCAUAAUAAUUUUCGGAUCGAUCGCAAAAUCGAUGCAUCAUUCAAGUUUCUGCCCUAUCACCUUUGGAUGGUAGGGUAUUGCCCUACCAUGGCAUUAACGGGUAACGGAAAAUUAGGGUUCGAUUCCGGAGAGGGAGCCUGAAAAAUGGCUACCACAUCUAAGGAAGGCAGCAGGCGCGUAAAUUACCCAAUCCUGACACAGGGAGGUAGUGACAAUAAAUAACAAUGCCG
rnacentral:rRNA from 1 species